UCCGGCAGCUAGCUCUCUGCAACUCUCACAAUGGGGUCACCCAUUGAAGCUAAGCAGGGCUGCGCCUGGUUAGUACGUGGAUGGGAGACCACAUGAGAAAGCUGGGUUGAUGUCGAAA
ensembl:rRNA 5S_rRNA 5S ribosomal RNA